GCAAGUGUGGUCCAAUGGCUAGGGCACCUGGUUUCCACCCAGAAGAUUGUGAGUUCGAGUCUCAUCACUUGCU
rnacentral:tRNA from 1 species